UUAUUUAACUGGUAAAAAAUUAAAUAUAUAUAUUUAUUCAUCAAGCGUCCUCCUUGGAUUUAGAUAUUUGUUAACGAAAUGGAAUAAAUCUCUGAAACAAGAGAGUGGAAGCUGAGAUGGCAUCUAAGCACGCCCUCCGAUCAGGUCAAAGAGCAGUUUCUAGUCUCCACAGAUAACCCCUUUGAUCUUGCACAGUCUCAGCGAUAACCUUUGAUUACGAUGUGAACAGGAAUCGUGUGUGCUGUAGAGAGAUUGGGGCAACAUUCUUCCUCUCCUCUCCCUCCUGAGCUUUUCCUGGAUUUACUGUAAACAUACGCGCCGCUGAUUCAUUUACCUGUAAGAAAAUAUUGUUCCUGUCUGUCUGGUUAAUUUGACUAAACACCAAGGAAAAGAAUGGAAAAGCUUGAGACGGCAAAGAGGCCACCCAGAAAGUUUGAAUUUGUUAGGUAUUCAAGCAGUGGCUAUUAAGCU